GGUUGACCUCGGAUCAGGUAGGGAUACCCGCUGAACUUAAGCAUAUCAUAGCGGAGGA
rnacentral:rRNA from 1 species